rnacentral:rRNA from 1 species
UACGUAUGGAGCAAGCGUUAUCCGGAUUUAUUGGGUUUAAAGGGUGCGUAGGCGGAAUAUCAAGUCAGCGGUAAAAAUUCGGGGCUCAACCCCGUCGUGCCGUUGAAACUGGCAGUCUCGAGUUGGAGAGAAGUAUGCGGAAUGCGCGGUGUAGCGGUGAAAUGCAUAGAUAUCGCGCAGAACUCCGAUUGCGAAGGCAGCAUGCCGGCUCCACACUGACGCUGAGGCACGAAAGCGUGGGUAUCGAACAGG